AUGGCUGGGCAGCCUGGUAACACUCUGCAUUUUUGCUCUCUGGAUCCAAAGUCACUGGCUCAGUUAAGCCCUGGACUGGAAGGCUGUGGGUUGGUGUUUCCACCACAUACAGUUCCUGUGACCUCAGGAGAGCUGCUUACCACCUCUGUUUCCAUUUUCCAGCUGACCCCACGUGCUGGAAGAGACAUCACUUCAUUCUCCCUUACAACUCUCACAUAUCCACCCGUGGAGAGUGACAACUCAUACGCUCCCAAGAGCGAGCAAAGUGAGCUCAUUCUCUGUGCGGUGCUCUGGCUGCCACCAUACCUAAAUGUUUUCCAUGUUCUUUAGCUCUGUUCAUAUUCAGUCCUUUCCCAAAGGCACAGGACUGUCCUACAGGACUUCCUUCAAGGAAGAAGUCUGGUUUGUUUGUUAGCCUUUUCUGGUUUUGUGUUUUAAACUCCUGCAUGAUGUGAUUUCAGUAGUGAUGGAGUAUAAAUAAGUCUUGGCAGAUCUUCAGCUAACCUAAGCAGACAGAGCUCUAGUGACAUUGGUGGGCAUGGAUAAGUCACCACAUCUGAAAACAAGUACCAGAGGCUCCAUCCUGCUGACACAGAAGACAAUGGCAAACCUCCCACUGACUUCAUAUGAAGAAGGAUCUGACAUUUAGGGAAAUAUCUGGAGAGGUUUGCUUAUGGGAACUCUGGAGAACUUACAAUAACAUACAUUUCAUUCUUUCCUAUGUGUGUCCAAAUGUGAGGUCACUUGUUCAAUUACACCCCUAUUCUUAUUCUGUUGGGUAAUGAGGGGAAAACAAAAGAGCAUUUGCAUUUGCUUAUAGCACUGUAUUUUUCCCCAAAGCUAGCACAAUGGCACUAGGCAGUUUUGCUCUCAUGAAAAGUACUAAGCCAACAAGAAAAAAAACACAUAACUGAGUUGUUGUAAAUGUUAUUGAAAGGUUUCAUAAUGGGUUCCAAGGGGCUUUAGGAAAGCUUAAUUCUUUAAAACUGUUUUUGAGGUGAACAUGUAUUUAAUUAUAUUUCAAUAGAGUAUAAAGGCCUCCUGUUAUUAGUAUUGUUCAGUGAAAAGCCCCUAUGUUUUUUAAAAUGUACUCCUUAAUUAAAAUCUCUUCCUGCAAUUUUAUUUUGAGAGAAGCUAUUUUUGUGUGCUGAUUACUAUUUCUGUGAAUCUCAGGCAGGUAAAAGAACGAGUUAUUGGAAUGAUUUUAUUUUGAUGACCUAUUGGCUAAAAAGCCUUAAAUGACAGUGAUUGCAUAGUGGUGCAAUUAGGCUAAAUAAAGACUACAGAUUGUCCUUCCA
rnacentral:lncRNA from 1 species